rnacentral:rRNA from 1 species
UACGUAGGGGGCUAGCGUUGUCCGGAAUCAUUGGGCGUAAAGCGCGUGUAGGCGGUUCGGUAAGUCCGCUGUGAAAGUCGGGGGCUCAACCCUCGGAUGCCGGUGGAUACUGUCGGACUAGAGUACGGAAGAGGCGAAUGGAAUUCCUGGUGUAGCGGUGAAAUGCGCAGAUAUCAGGAGGAACACCGAUUGCGAAGGCAGCUCGCUGGGACGUCACUGACGCUGAGACGCGAAAGCGUGGGGAGCAAACAGG